GUAACUUGAAGAUAAGAUAGGCAUACUUAGAAAGAUGGAUGCAUCAAAAGGGCAGAAGAUAAGUAAGAUUAUGAAGGUAUGAAGGCUACAGAUAUAGACUAUAGGGAGCUGCCAGGCUGGCUUGGGUCACUGUCCCAGCUGGUGGAAGCAUCUACACCUCCAAUGACAGGAGCCCAGCAGGAAAAAGGGAGAGCGCUGAAGGCACCGGCAGGGACCUGCUGCCACUGGUGAGUUCUCUGUUUUGUUGUUUUUUUC
rnacentral:lncRNA from 1 species